UUGGUUGCUUAUAAGAAUAUAUAAAGUUUUCGCCUGCAAACAAGGGGUACCCACUCUCUCUCUCUCUCUCCCCUGCGGAAUGGAUCUAGCUUUCUCGGUUGGUGGCUUUGUGCUCUGCUCACCAGCGAAGCGUUCGACGCCAUUGACCUCCUUCAAUCUUCCUCCAGGUUAGUGCUAUUUACGCAAAUCUUGCCUAAUAUUACUUGCUCUUUCUGGCUUGCAAAGCGUUCAUGGAGGCGAGCGGCGAAAUAUAGUUGGUCCGUUGUCAAGAAAUGAUCGAGAUUUCGGACAGUAUACAUGUUGACGGAGUGAUUUCCUCUUCCGAAAAGAAAAAGGGCCGCCGCUGUCUCGCCUGCAGCCACUCGCCAGGGAGGGAAUCUACCGCCUGAAUUGAUCGAUUUCUGGUUCUUUGCAGUCUGAAAUUUGAAGCAACGCACUGCUGCCCCCCACCGCUGCAUCUGGGUAUCCGAUCGUUGUUCGUUAAUUAUGUCUACUCGUCUUGACCUAAUCAAGCUCUGGACGGUGAAGCGCUGCUAGAUCGUGAAGACCGUAUGCUUCCAACCAAGUAAAGAGGUCGUACUUUCGAUCUUCUGCUCGAGGGAUUGUUUGUGGGCGGUUUGCGGGAUCGUCCAUCUACGGUACGAGGGACUCCAAGUGCAAUCUACACAGACUAGUCUUCUUCCGCUGCACUCUGGACUCGCUCUGGACGGUGAAGCGCUGCCAGAUCGUGAAGACCGUAUGCUUCCAACCAAGUAAAGAGGUCGUACUUUCGAUCUUCUGCUCGAGGGAUUGUUUGUGGGCGGUUUGCGGGAUCGUCCAUCUACGGUACGAGGGACUCCAAGUGCAAUCUACACAGACUAGUCUUCUUCCGCUGCACUCUGGACUCGGUAACAAUUGUUGAUCCAAACCUUAUAUGCAUCUUCAUAUUGUUCCUGCGUAAUCAUAGGGCAAUUUUUUUGUCUACUAUGUUUCCUAACAGUGGCAUCAUGAGCAGUUCUAUGAGUAGAUGUAGGUUUCAAUCUAGAUCACAUGUGGAUGUGAGGGUUCGAUGUUCUUGCUAUGCUUCCCUUGAGUGUUGCUUUGGUUUAGUUAAUUGACGGCAUGAUGUAGCUUUUCACAAAGUUCUGACAAUCGAUCGGCUCUGGCUGUCGACGACGUGUUAACAGUUCUUUGGGCUUAAUCAUAGUCAAGAAUAGUGAACCAUCGCAAACACAAUAGGGAGAUGAAGAUAUUCGAUCUUCUAGUGGGUCACGCGUAUUAAUGAAGUUUAGUUCGGACUGGAGAUUUUUAAUUAAGUCUCUUCCCUCACACACCCCGAAAGUUAAUCUAGCAACAAAAAUUAUCGCCUUGAUUUGUACGUAGGUAGCUAGUGUUGUCUGGAAACCCUAGAAGCCACGUAAUUAAAAUUUGCCAAAUCGAUCAGAGGACAUCUAACUUGGUUUUGCAGGUUUGCAUAUGAUGUGGUAUAGCCUUCGUCAUGAUAAUGAGUUUAUGUAUGAGAUGGUUAUAUGUUAUAAUGUUAAGUGGCACUGCGUCAUGGCAUGAUGGCUGGAGCCACGAGAUUGCCACUUUAAUGUAGAAGAUGUAGAGAUAGCCUACAAGUUACAUGUGAUGGUGGGAAGUGUACACGGAGGACCCUGGUGUGAAGAAGGUGUACCAGGCGUAGGAGGAGGUGCUGAAAUUUUCAUGCCGCGACAGCGUUUUCUGAAAUUGGUGCCAUGGCACCGUCUUUUGAAAUUGCUGCCAUGGUAGCGUUUUUUAAAUGGUUGCCAUGGCAACGAUUUUUCUACCACCACGAUGACGUUUCAACUGGAUAUUGAAGAAGACCGUGAAGACUUCCUGGCGCACAGGGCUAUACCAUAUCAUGCUAUUAUGAAUUUCCUGAGAUGUUUAUCCCUUUGUUGUUUGGACCCUUUGGUUGCAUAGUAAUCAAUUAUUAGGGUGAUCUCUCAUAGUAAAUAUCAUGUUAAAGGUGCUCUUCCCAUUAUUACAACCAUCUAUAACACAUAGCAAUUCAGAGUGCAUCAUGUCCACAUGAGUAUAAAUGGACUAUGAGGUGUAAAACGAGUGGAUGGUCAGACCAUGGAUGCAAUGGCACUCGGUUGUCUUGAAGUUCUGGCAGAAUCGUUCUCAGCUCAGAGCAUGAAGCAUCAAAAGAUGAACAAGAGUCAUAUGGAGAUAUAAUCGGCAAAAGUUUGUGUACCGGUCAAAAUUCUCGUCAUCAGUGAUAUCCACAUCAAUGGAUGAGAAUAAGAUCAGGAUCUUGAAUCACUCACUUCCAAUUAUGAAAGACAGUGAAUUGAGUGGGAGUGCACUUUAUAUUAAUUUAGUUUAAUCACUAGUACGAAUUAAUUAGA